AAACAACUGCUUCUGAAGGGAAACUUCCUUUGCAGCACCUCAAAAAGUGACGUUUAUUGAAUGAACCUCGCCCCUCGAAGCAGGCACUGUUUGUGUUCAACUGAAGAUAGCCUUAUAGUUUCGUUCCUGCUAAGGAGAUAGGUAAAAAAGGAAGAUUUUGUGUGAAGCAGGGUUAAGCCGUGAAGACAGGAAUUUCAAAAGCUUGGGCAUUAGCAGAACAUGACAGACCUGACCUGAGAUGCAGGGCCUCUUUGUGUGCUUCCUUCAGUGCUCCUUGCUUUCUGCAUAUCACUCAUUUGUGACGGCAGGUAAGGGCUGUUCAGCUCUUAGAGUGGCAAUGGUGUCUGUUUUGGAUGUGUCUGCGCUGUGCAGCGCUUGCACUGGAAUGUGCACGCAGAGAGUGCAGACAUUGCACCUGGCACAAACCAGUGGUGUUUAAGCAGCUGCAGCUUCAGUAAGGGUUUUUUUUUUGUGAACUUUGUGUCCAGCACUUGCUGCUUGUGCUUCUGGUUCAUGCACAGCAAUAGUUAGCGUUUGGAUUUAAAGCGCUCUGUGAAGAUAUUUGUGUUUGCAAGAGAAUUCAUUUUUUAAGAAAAUAUUAUAAAUAGUGUUACAUUUUGAGCUGAUGUAUUUACGACAGUGUCUGAACUUUUGCCCUAAAAUAUACAGGCACGGGAAAGUGAUUCUAUUGCUAGAAAUCUAAUGUUAUUGCCUGGUCUGCAUUAGACAAAAGGCAUUGCAUGAGGCUCCUGGAUAGCUCUUUUUAAAUGUGUAUUACCUGAAAUUCUAAUUUCAUCUUGCCGUUCACGUUGUCCCGUGCAGGUCUGGCAACUCUCCCCCAUUAGAUGCUGGAAGGGCUGUCCAUCAGAUGGCUGAGAGCUGAAGCAAUGUUUCUACAUCAUUGCAACCAAUCAGGCAAGCAAAGCAGAUUUCAGAACUGGAGGAACAUUAAUGUACUAAAAUAGGACCGAGUCCUGAAACCCUAGCCUGGCCGGGGGAAAAAAUCUCCAUUGUCUUCAGUGGGAGCUGCCUGGCGUGACGUUACCGCAGUGCCGCUCCGUCAGCACGCAGUGGCAUGCAGCAGGGACAGACCCAGGCGCCGUGCAGUGCAGUGAGCACGCAGCCCCGCCGAGAGCCCACCACGCACAUCUCUGCUUUGCUUCAUCGCUUUGGUCCAAGCUCCUGAGCCAAUGUCUCUGCCCCCAUUCAGCUCCAGGCUUUCCGAAGUGUUGUUGUUGGACAGAUUUCCUUUGCAAACACAGCUCUCGGAAUGGAGUGCAGCAGCUUCACACAGUAGUUGAGAUUCCAAGGCAGAUAUUCCCAGGAUGCUGGCAGCUGCUUUUGCUGCUGCUGUUGGGACUCCAGGAUGUAAACUCCAGAGAUUAAACCUCGCGGCUGAAGGGCUGGGGCCACUCAGAGUGAAGGACUCAGGGUUGCAUUGCACAAGGUUAAUCUGACUUUUAAAAGAAACUAGAAAUUGAGAAAAAGACAUUAUCCUGUCCCCCCCAUAUUAGAGUUUUCCUGCUGACUUCAAAAGAAACAAGACAAGGCUUGACCAGAUCCAUAGCAAGCUGAGGCAAAGGGGAGAUUUGCCUUCGAGAGAACGUGUCUGGGCAGAUAAAGGGAGGCUGAAGCUGGAGCCUGCCAAAGGCCGAGGCACAGCUUUUGUGAGACCCGGACCUUGUGCUGUGUGGCCAGAGCUAGGGAUGGAGACCACUAUGGAAAGAAACGCAUGCUUUACGGCAGCCUGAAGGGAUGCCACGUUUGUUUGGGUCUAUAGGUGUUUGCAGCCAGGCGGGUACAGAUGACCACAUCUGCUCUUCGUGGGGCUCAGAUGGGUUUGGUGCAGGCCAGCUACAGUCUAGGUGCCGUAG
ensembl:lncRNA